UACGGGGGGAGCAAGCGUUGUUCGGAUUUACUGGGCGUAAAGGGCGCGUAGGCGGCCACCGCAAGUCACUUGUGAAAUCUCCGGGCUUAACCCGGAAAGGUCAACUGAUACUGCGGGGCUAGAGUGCAGAAGGGGCAACUGGAAUUCUCGGUGUAGCGGUGAAAUGCGUAGAUAUCGAGAGGAACACCUGCGGCGAAGGCGGGUUGCUGGGCUGACACUGACGCUGAUGUGCGAAAGCUAGGGGAGCGAACAGG
rnacentral:rRNA from 1 species